rnacentral:tRNA from 1 species
GGUGCGUAGCUCAACUGGCAGAGCCCCCCGACCACGGGGAGAUGCGGGUUCGAAUCCCGUCCGCACCA